rnacentral:rRNA from 1 species
UACGUAGGGUGCAAGCGUUGUCCGGAAUUAUUGGGCGCAAAGAGCUCGUAGGCGGUUUGUCGCGUCUGCUGUGAAAACUCGGGGCUUAACUCCGGGCCUGCAGUGGGUACGGGCAGACUAGAGUGCGGUAGGGGAGACUGGAAUUCCUGGUGUAGCGGUGGAAUGCGCAGAUAUCAGGAGGAACACCGGUGGCGAAGGCGGGUCUCUGGGCAGUAACUGACGCUGAGGAGCGAAAGCGUGGGGAGCGAACAGG